rnacentral:rRNA from 1 species
AGCGAACGCUGGCGGCAGGCCUAACACAUGCAAGUCGAACGAACUCUUCGGAGUUAGUGGCGGACGGGUGAGUAACACGUGGGAACGUGCCUUUAGGUUCGGAAUAACUCAGGGAAACUUGUGCUAAUACCGAAUGUGCCCUUCGGGGGAAAGAUUUAUCGCCUUUAGAGCGGCCCGCGUCUGAUUAGCUAGUUGGUGAGGUAAAGGCUCACCAAGGCGACGAUCAGUAGCUGGUCUGAGAGGAUGAUCAGCCACAUUGGGACUGAGACACGGCCCAAACUCCUACGGGAGGCAGCAGUGGGGAAUCUUGCGCAAUGGGCGAAAGCCUGACGCAGCCCUGCCGCGUGAAUGAUGAAGGUCUUAGGAUUGUAAAAUUCUUUCACCGGGGACGAUAAUGACGGUACCCGGAGAAGAAGCCCCGGCUAACUUCGUG